UACGAAGGGUGCAAGCGUUACUCGGAAUUACUGGGCGUAAAGCGUGCGUAGGUGGUUCGUUAAGUCUGAUGUGAAAGCCCUGGGCUCAACCUGGGAAUGGCAUUGGAUACUGGCGACCUAGAGUGCGGUAGAGGGGUGUGGAAUUCCCGGUGUAGCAGUGAAAUGCGUAGAUAUCGAGAGGAACACCAGUGGCGAAGGCGGGUCUCUGGACAACACCUGACGCUGAGGCACGAAAGCCGGGGGAGCAAACGGG
rnacentral:rRNA from 1 species